AGAGUCCAUGGACGAAAUGCCUCACAGUUGGACUUUACAACAUAGCAAGGAGGUGACCAAGCAGACAAAUGGUUACGACUGUGAAGUCCAUAUGUGCCAAAAUGCUGCGGAUGUUGCGUAUGCCUUGCCGUUUUCAUGUUCUACGAACAAGGUUCAUGCCAUCCGGAAGGCGAUGACAUUUGAGAUACAUACUGGAGCAUUGAUGCCCAGAGAAUAAUGCGAACAGUUUUGUAGAUCACGCACUAUUUUGACCAUAGAUCAAGUGAUGACAUAUAUUUGUUCAAACUGAUUGAGACAUUUUGAUGCAUGCUAAAAAAUCAUCAAUAUUAUUUGUGUAUCAAGGCAGAGACCUGUUGUUAUACGUUAUGCAUUCAUGUUUGCCUCAAAGGGUCUCCCUGUUGUGUUAAGUUUGUAAAUAUUUGUUUCUUGCCCAAACUCUGUUUAAUUGGCCACUGAAUUAAAAAAAUCGUGUUUGUAUUACUAUGCUUUUUAAAGCCAGUAAAAAGGACGAUAUAAUUAUUGAGUGUCUUUACUGAACUUAAUUUUUAGGUCACCUGAGCACAACGUGCUCAUAGUGAGCUUUUGUGAUCGCCUUUUGUCCGUCGUGUGUUGUGCGCCGUCAACAUUUGCCGUGUUAACUAACUCUUUAGACGCCACAUUUAUUGUCCAAUCUUCGUGAAAUUUGGUGAGAAGAUUGGUCUCAAUGGAAUCCCGUAAGAGUUCGAAAAUGGUUACCUUUGCUUGAAAAACUUGGCUGCCAAGGGUCGGGGGAUUUUUCCUUAUAAGGCUUUAGUAAAAUUUUGUUAACACUCUAGAGGCGACAUUUAUUGUCUGAUCUUCAUGGAACUUGGUCAGACGAUCCAUCCCAAUAAUAUCUUAGACGAGUUUGGAAAUGAUGCUGUUUAUUGAAAAACAUGGCCGCCUUGGGGCGGGGAAUUUUUUCUUAUAUGGCUAUAGUAAAACCUUGUUAAUACUCUUG